rnacentral:rRNA from 1 species
AGCGAACGCUGGCGGUAGGCCUAACACAUGCAAGUCGAACGGCAGCACCGUAAGAGCUUGCUCUUCCGGGUGGCGAGUGGCGGACGGGUGAGGUAUAUAUCGGACCCUACUUUUUCGUGGGGGAUAACGUAGGGAAACUUACGCUAAUACCGCAUACGCCCUUCGGGUGAAAGCAGGGGAUCUUCGGACCUUGCGCGAUUGAAUGAGCCGAUGUCGGAUUAGCUAGUUGGCGGGGUAAAGGCCCACCCAGGCGACGAUCCGCAGCUGGUCGGAGAGGAGGGUCAGCCACACUGGAACGGGGACACGGUCCAGAGGACUACGGGAGGCAGCAGUGGGGAAUAUUAGGCAAUGGGCGCAAGCCUGAUCCAGCCAGACCGCGUGGGUGAAGAAGGCCUUCGGGUUGUAAAGCCGUUUUGUUGGGAGAGAAAAGCAGCAGGUUAAUACCCCGCUGUUCUGACGGUACCCAAAGAAUAAGCACCGGCUAACUUCGUG